AAGUCGUAACAAGGUUUCCGUAGGUGAACCUGCGGAAGGAUCAUUAACACGUAUCCAAACGUUAAAACCCCCCCCGUGAACCUUCAUCCUGCUCUUGUAACCCGCGUAGUUCGCAAUCUCUGAUAAAUCAUAGCCCGGAAAGUUGUAGUGAUUCAGAGACCUCUGGCUACGUGCGAACAUUGGAACAGUUACAAUCGAGCGGUAGUUCUAUAGGCAAUGUUUCCCCAAGCAGUCAGUGUCGGAAAGUGUCAUUGAUUGUGCAAGGAUAGCGAUUCCUGUAGACCGUACACUCAAGUUUAAUGUGAAGCUCAAUGUAAUACAUUGGGUAAAAAACAGAACACCUGUUAACAAUGGAUAUCUUGGUUCUC
rnacentral:misc_RNA from 1 species